GAUCUACAAUUUGAUGAGUAAACCUCAAUGACUUAGAGGCGGGGCUAACUUACAAGACCCCAUCAGACCUCGAGUCAUGAGAAAAGCAGAGGGAGAUCCUAAGGGACCUCCGAAGGGCUAACCAAUAAGGACCCUCAACCUAUGAUACAAAGAUGAGAAAUUUACAAGAUGCUGCUCACAAGAUGAGCUGAGCACACACUGUCUCUCGCAUUAUAAGAAGUGCACAUACUGCUACUCACAAGAUGAGUAGUGCACAUGCUGCCUUUCGCAUAA
rnacentral:lncRNA from 1 species